UACGUAGGCAGCAAGCGUUGUUCGGAGUUACUGGGCGUAAAGGGUGCGUAGGCGGUCCUGUAAGUAUGGUGUGAAAUCUCCCGGCUUAACUGGGAGGGUGCGCUAUAGACUGCGGGACUAGAGGGUGGGAGAGGAAAGUGGAAUUCCUGGUGUAGCGGUGAAAUGCGUAGAUAUCAGGAGGAACACCGGUGGUGUAAACGGCUUUCUGGACCAUUUCUGACGCUGAGGCACGAAAGCCGUGGGUAGCAAACAGG
rnacentral:rRNA from 1 species